rnacentral:rRNA from 1 species
CCAAUAGCGUAUAUUAAAGUUGUUGCAGUUAAAAAGCUCGUAGUUGAAUUUCGGGAUUGACGUGACGGUCAUGCCUUAAGGGGUAUGAACUGUUACAGUUGAUUUCUCACCUUCUGGAGAAACUUGAUGUCCUUUAUUGGGUGUCUUGCGGAUCCAGGACCUUUACCUUGAAAAAAUUAGAGUGUUUAAAGCAGGCAUUUUUGCUCGAAUACAUUAGCAUGGAAUAAUAGAAUAGGACGGCAUGGUUCUAUUUUGUUGGUUUCUAGGAUCACCGUAAUGAUUAAUAGGGAUAGUUGGGGGCAUUAGUAUUCAAUUGUCAGAGGUGAAAUUCUUGGAUUUAUUGAAGACUAACUACUGCGAAAGCAUUUGCCAAGGAUGUUUUCAUUAAUCAAGAACGAAAGUUAGGGGAUCGAAGACGAUCAGAUACCGUCGUAGUCCUAACCAUAAACUAUGCCGACUAGGAAUCAGACGAUGUUAAUUUUUUAAUGACUCGUUUGGCACCUUACG